AAAUUGAUCCGCCCGCAACGAACACUGGCAAGCUACCUAGUGAAUCACUAAUAUCCAUUUUACAUUUCUGCUUUCCUGUUUCAAAAACACCAAAACGCAAAGCAGCCACUAUCUCCACUCUCUCCUCUCCGAAUGAGCUAGGGUUUAUCGUUUUUCGUAUUCCGUUUCCAUAAUCAGGUAUCCGAUGGCUCCUAACCCGAGAGUGGUGAACGCGUUCAGGGCGAUGAGAGCGAUUGGAAUAACAGAGAAGCAAGUUAAGCCUGUAUUGAAGAAGAUGCUGAAGCUCUAUGACAAAAAUUGGGAGCUUAUAGAGGAGGAAAAUUAUAGAGCUCUUGCGGAUGCUAUCUUUGAAGAGGAGGAGGCUAAGGUUCCGGAAGAGAAGGAUGAGGCUGCUGAGGGGACUUUGGAGGAAGAAACUUUGGCAUCUAGUGAACCUGAGUUGCCAUUAAAGCGGCUGCGAAGAGGGCAAGAUGGGCAAGUUUCUGGAUCUCCUAGUGACAUUGAGGCUGGAUUGGGUGGAAGCCCUUUUAAGAAGAGUAAAGUUGAGGGGAAGGGACUGGCUGGUGAAACAUCGGAGCAGCAGUCAUCGGACAUGAGAAUUUCACAACCGAAGCCAAUUGCAAUUUGGAGUCCUAAUAGAAACACAAGUUCACAAACUGUUUCUCCUCGUCGUUUGGCAGUGCUGGAACACUCUAAGCAGCGUUCCAACGAGGGAAAAGAUCCUUUAUUAUCCGAGGCUACUGCACAACAGAAAAGACCUAAUUUAAAAGGAUCGUCACAAGCAGUUCACCUUAAAGACCCCAUAGUUCAGCAAGGCAUUGUUCUUUCACCCAAACAAAAAAUGCCUCUUAUCAGGCCUAAAGAUGAGCCAUUUACUGAUGAUGUGCCUUUUGAUAACGCACCACAACCUAUCGCAAUAAUCCGACCAGAUUGUGCAAGUAAAGAACAAUAUUUUAAUCAGAGAGUUUCUUCACUCAAACAGCAUCGACAAGAACGUCCAGCAUCCCAAGUAUUAGCUGGUGAAGGUAGGGAAGAGAACCUUCCAGUCCCAUCAAGUCUGACAAGAGACAGCCGUGAACUUGCAACCAUUCCAGAGGAAGCUCAGGCUAACUUAGAGAUCGCCACCUCAGCAAUGGGAGAGGUGAAGAUUUCUCUGAGCUGCAACUCUUUGCUUGGAAGACCAAAUUUUCAUAUGCCUAGCCAAGAUGAACUUCUGAAAUCAAUGCAGGAGAAAUGUCUCCGAUCUUACAAAAUCAUCGAUCCAAACUUUUCUGUCAUGCAAAUACUGAAAGAUAUGUGUGAAUGCUUCUUGGACUUGGCAACUGAUUCCUCUCAUGAAUCGCAGGAAAGGAUAUUGAAUGUAACUCCAGCUCUUGAUCUAUUGAAGAAAUCUGCUGGUGUUGGUGCCAUUAAACAAAAUGACCGUAUACAAGCCUAUUUUGCAAACAGAUCAGUUGAUGCCUGUUGCUUUGAUGGGAUGGCCGCUCUUCAAAUUCCAAGACCACUACAACUUUCGAAUGGCUUGGAGGUCAUGCAGUCAAGUGAAGAGGUUAUUGUGAAUGGGUGUUCUGGAAGUGGCAAAGAAAAGGAAUUUGAAGAUGCUGAGUAUGGUAGUUUGAUUGUGGUUCCACAGCAUCAAUUGACUGCUGAUGAGUUUAGGUUCCUUAAUUACCAUUCUGACAUUACCAAGGGAGAAGAAAUGUUUGAGAUUCCAUGGUCGAAUGAAGUAAACAGCGAGUUUCCCCCAGUUUUUAACUACAUACCCCGAAAUUUGAUUUUUCAAAAUGCAUAUGUCAACUUCUCUCUCUCACAAAUCAGGGCUGAAAAUUGUUGCUCGGCUUGUAUUGGUAAUUGUUUGUCGUCAUCUACGCCUUGUGUUUGCUCCAGCGACAGUGAGCAUGGUUUUGCAUAUACUUUAGAAGGCCUUGUCAAAGAGGACUUCUUAGAAGAUUGUAUCUCUCUAACUCGGAAUCCUCAAAGACAAUUUCUUUUUUACUGUAGAGAUUGCCCACUGGAAAGAUCAAAAAAUGAUGAGAUGUUGGAACCAUGCAAGGGUCACUUGAAGAGGAAAUAUAUUAAAGAAUGUUGGAGCAAAUGUGGCUGCCACAAACAGUGUGGAAAUAGAGUCGUGCAGCGAGGUAUAAUGUGCAAGUUGCAGGUUUUCUUUACUCCUGAAGGAAAGGGGUGGGGUCUCAGAACUCUAGAAUUGCUACCAAAAGGUACAUUUGUAUGUGAGUAUGUAGGGGAGAUCCUAACCAACAAGGAGUUCUACGAGAGGAAGAUGCAAAGGGCAACUAGCAACAAAACUGAAAAGCAUGCCUAUCCAGCUGUACUUGAUGCAGAUUGGUGCUUGAAAGGAGUUGUAAAUGAUGAAGAAGCUCUGUGCUUGGAUGCGACAUUUUAUGGAAAUGUUGCUAGGUUUAUCAACCACAGAUGUCUCGAUGCUAACAUGAUCGAGAUCCCGGUGAAGAUUGAGACCCCUGAUCAUCAUUAUUAUCAUCUUGCUUUCUUCACGACUAGAGAAGUGAAUGCUUCGGAAGAGUUAACCUGGGUGAGCAAUGUCACUCGAGUUUAUGAAUUUUUUCCAUGUUUUUGCUUAGUUAUGUAAGCAUCGUUGCUCUGAUGCUUUCCAAUGAGGAGGCAUGGUUGACAUUACACUGUUUUACGGAUUAUGGCAUUGAUUUUGAUGAUACUGAUCAACCUGUGGAGUUAUUCCAUUGCCGAUGUGGCAGCAAGUUCUGCAGGAACAUGAAACGUUCAAGUAGAUCUAAUUCAGCAGCAAGAUGAUUGGGAGCGCGGAUGACGAGACUGCUGAUAUUUUGUUAGAAUCCCAUCCAUGACAAGGGAAGAAAGCUUUCAAGUGGACUUGCUUAAUUUUUCUUGGUCCUACUGUAAUCUUGUCAAAGUCAUGUAAUUAUUUUGUUAAGUGAAGUGGUUUAUCAGCAGCGGCCUUAUAAAUCUGGUUUUGGUUGCACAGAUUGCAUGAUCUACCGUCUCUACCGUGGAUUAUGCAUCUAAAUCCUGGACAUUUUGCUGCAUUUUGGAGGAAGGGGGCCCUAUGUCAGGUGUUUCCUGUGGAUCUUUUUUUAGUUUUGCUGAAGUGUUUCUGUGGUGCAGGGGCAACAAAAACUGGGUCAUGUAUGUUGGUUGGUGUCUAUUCCUAUUAUUGUACAGGUUUAUGGCUGUCUUUGUAAUCUGCUUUAUCUGCUUUUGACUGCUUCCCGUCGAUGUUGGGCAGCACGGUUUGGCCACCGGCUGCUAUUUGGGUGGGCAGAAGAUGCCAUUCAGCGCAGCAUGGCUUGUUUUUGCACAAGCUGCUGCUAUUUGGCCUUGGCAUCUACUCUGCUAUUUGGAGUGAAUUAUAUUUUAGUUCCUUAGUUUAUCAAAA